UGAUGCAGCAACGCCGCGUGGGGAUGAAGGCCUUUGGGUUGUAAACCCCUUUUCUCGGGGAAGAGGAAGGACGGUACUCGAGGAAUCAGUCACGGCUAACUACGUGCCAGCAGCCGCGGUAACACGUAGGUGGCGAGCGUUAUCCGGAAUUACUGGGCGUAAAGCGCACGUAGGCGGCUGCUUAAGUCUGACGUAAAAGCUCUUGGCUUAACUGGGAGAGGACGUUGGAGACUGGGCGGCUUGAGGCGAUGAGAGGGGCGUAGAAUUCCCGGUGUAGUGGUGGAAUGCGUAGAUAUCGGGAGGAAUACCAGUGGCGAAAGCGGCGUCCUAGCAUUGGCCUGACGUUCAUGUGCGAAAGCGUGGGGAGCGAACGGGAUUAGAUACCCCGGUAGUCCACGCUGUAAACGAUGAGCACUAGGUGUGGGGAGUGUUAAAACUGUCCGUGCCGAAGCCAACGCGUUAAGUGCUCCGCCUGGGGAGUACGGCCGCAAGGCUA
rnacentral:rRNA from 1 species